GUGAACGCUGGCGGUAGGCCUAACACAUGCAAGUCGAACGGCAGCACAGUAAGAGCUUGCUCUUACGGGUGGCGAGUGGCGGACGGGUGGGGAAUACAUCGGAAUCUACUUUUUCGUGGGGGAUAACGUAGGGAAACUUACGCUAAUACCGCAUACGACCUACGGGUGAAAGCAGGGGAUCUUCGGACCUUGCGCGAUUGAAUGAGCCGAUGUCGGAUUAGCUAGUUGGCGGGGUAAAGGCCCACCAAGGCGACGAUCCGUAGCUGGUCUGAGAGGAUGAUCAGCCACACUGGAACUGAGACACGGUCCAGACUCCUACGGGAGGCAGCAGUGGGGAAUAUUGGACAAUGGGCGCAAGCCUGAUCCAGCCAUACCGCGUGGGUGAAGAAGGCCUUCGGGUUGUAAAGCCCUUUUGUUGGGAAAGAAAAGCAGCAGGUUAAUACCCCGCUGUUCCGACGGUACCCAAAGAAUAAGCACCGGCUAACUUCGUG
rnacentral:rRNA from 1 species